GACGAACGCUGGCGGCGUGCUUAACACAUGCAAGUCGAACGGAAAGGCCCUGCUUUUGUGGGGUGCUCGAGUGGCGAACGGGUGAGUAACACGUGAGUAACCUGCCCUUGACUUUGGGAUAACUUCAGGAAACUGGGGCUAAUACCGGAUAGGAGCUCCUGCUGCAUGGUGGGGGUUGGAAAGCUUCGGCGGUUGGGGAUGGACUCGCGGCUUAUCAGCUUGUUGGUGGGGUAGUGGCUUACCAAGGCUUCGACGGGUAGCCGGCCUGAGAGGGUGGCCGGCCACAUUGGGACUGAGAUACGGCGCAGACUCCUACGGGAGGCAGCAGUGGGGAAUAUUACACAAUGAGCGGAAGCCUGAUGCAGCAGCGCCGCGUGCGGGAUGACGGCCUUCGGGUUGGAAACCGCUUUCGCCUGUGACGAAGCGUGAGUGACGGUAAUGGGUAAAGAAGCACCGGCUAACUACGUG
rnacentral:rRNA from 1 species